AACGAACGCUGGCGGCGUGGAUAAGACAUGCAAGUCGAACGGGACAUUAUUUGUAGCAAUACAGAUGAUGUUCAGUGGCGAAAGGGUGCGUAACACGUGGGCAAUCUACCGAGAAGUGGG
rnacentral:rRNA from 1 species